GGCGAACGCUGGCGGCGUGCCUAAUACAUGCAAGUCGAGCGAAUGGAAGGGAGCUUGCUCCCUGAAGUUAGCGGCGGACGGGUGAGUAACACGUGGGCAACCUGCCUGUAAGACUGGGAUAACUUCGGGAAACCGGAGCUAAUACCGGAUACGUUCUUUCCUCGCAUGAGGAAAGAUGGAAAGAUGGUUUCGGAUAUCACUUACAGAUGGGCCCGCGGCGCAUUAGCUAGUUGGUGGGGUAAUGGCCCACCCAGGCGACGAUGCGUAGCCGACCUGAGACGCUGAGCCGGCACACUGGAACGGAGGCACGGCCCAGACUCCGCCGGGAGGAAGCACUAGGGAAUCUCCCGCAAUAGACGAAAGUCUGACUGAGGAACGCCGCGUGAGCGACGAAGGCCUUCGGGUCGUAAAGCUCUGUUGUCAGGGAAGAACAAGUGCCAGAGUAACUGCUGGCACCUUGACGGUACCUGACCAGAAAGCCACGGCUAACUACGUGCCCGCCGCCGCAGUAAUAC
rnacentral:rRNA from 1 species